CUCGUUUGCUUCCAGUCGCCUAUGUGGACAAAAAAUUAAUACGUGGCGGAUGAAAAUCUUACGUGUCAAUUAACCCUGUUAAUUUUUGCCAACUGGGAUUUGAACUCUCCUUUUUCCUUCCAUUUAAUUGUAAAACACGUUUAUACCUCAUUCCCAAUUCUUUAGAAGCCCUAGCAGUCCCAGUGAACCCAUCUCUUCUCCUCCAACAAACUGAUUUCUCUCAAAAUCAAGAAACUAUCUCUAAAUCGAUAUCAAAAAAAGAAAUAACCUUUAAACUGUGACCUCGUUUCUUCUCCUAACUAUUUUGAUCGAUUUCUGGCAAGCAAAGAAGGAACUGAGAUCACUCGAAAUCGCCUAUGCAUUUAUUUUCUUCUACAACAUUUAUUUAAUUAUGUGUUGUUUUUUUCCUUCUAUUUUAUUGAUUGUUACAUGGAGGUAGUGACAAUUAAAGGCACUACUUACAUGGGAAAAAUGCUUUAGAAAGAAGAGUUUUUCACUUUUUAUGGCAGGAAGAUGAAACAGUCAAGGAGAGGAUAAAUGCCUGCAGGAAAAGAAUUGCACAAACUAAUACUAAGUCAUCUAUUUUAUCACAUGCAAGGAGAUGCAGUCUGUAGAAGAAUCGACAGUUAAAGCUCCUUACUGCUCAUCAAGAAAUGAAAUUUGAUCUUAGAUAGGAAAUUGAUGGAAAAGUGAAUAGGAUGCUGUGGUUUUUUGAUUAUGUAGUUGGUAGGUUGUAGGAAUGUUUUUGGUGUUCUAUUUAAGCUCAAUGGUUGUAAUAUAGGUGUAUUAGUAUUGAUGGUUGUGAAAUCAUCAAAGGAAACCUGAUGUAUUUUACAAUUUCAAAUGAAAUGGGUUCUUUUGUGUUCAUCUUGGCUGGAAAUUACAUAAGUGCAUCAGU
rnacentral:lncRNA from 1 species